rnacentral:rRNA from 1 species
CGGCGUGCUUAACACAUGCAAGUCGAACGAGAAAGUUCCUUCGGGGACGAGUAAAGUGGCGCACGGGUGAGUAACGCGUAGAUAAUCUGUCCAGGUGUUCGGGAUAGCCCUUCGAAAGGGGGAUUAAUACCGGAUACGUUAGUCUUACAUAAGUGAGAUUAAGAAAGGUGGCCUCUAUUUAUAAGCUAUCGCAUUUGGAGGAGUCUGCGUACCAUUAGUUUGUUGGUGGGGUAAUGGCCUACCAAGACUUCGAUGGUUAGCGGGUCUGAGAGGAUGAUCCGUCACACUGGCACUGAAACACGGGCCAGACUCCUACGGGAGGCAGCAGUGAGGAAUAUUGCGCAAUGGGGGAAACCCUGACGCAGCGACGCCGCGUGGGUGAGGAAGGCUUUCGGGUCGUAAAGCCCUGUCAGGUGGGAAGAAAUGUGUAUAGGUUAAUAACCUUUACAUUUGACGGUACCACCAAAGGAAGCACCGGCUAACUCCGUGCCAGCAGCCGCGGUAAUACGGAGGGUGCAAACGUUGUUCGGAAUCACUGGGCGUAAAGGGCGCGCAGGCGGUCUGAUUAGUCAGAUGUGAAAGCCCACGGCUUAACCGUGGAAGUGCAUUUGAAACUGUCAGGCUUGAGUACCAGAGGGGGUAGUGGAAUUCCCGGUGUAGAGGUGAAAUUCGUAGAUAUCGGGAGGAAUACUGGUGGCGA